AGACAGGAACACUUUGUUUAUAAUCUCCAUAACACAGAGUUAAAGAUUAAGAUUUGAUGGAAAAAUCACAAAAUAUAUCAUAGCUAUAUAUUUUUGGCAAUCAUAAAAAAAAUGAUUAUUAAGAAAAUUGUUAACUUUAUAAAAUUGUAAGAUAUUUAGCGUGAAGCACAUUUUAGUUGGUGUGAAUUUUAAGUGAAUUUCAACAAUAUUUUGGACUCCAACAAAUACUAAUUUCCUAAAUGAUCUAUUAUUAGAAGAGUAUAUAGACUAGUGUGUGUAAUUAGUCUUGGAGGAUUAAUAUAGUAGACAUUUAAUGACGGGAUCCCCCGGGGGGAUAUCGACAGUGAUAUUGACAGCAUUACGACAAGCGACCAUUGACUAUUACACCUGUCUGACAGGUAAAUCAUUGUGGAUCUAACAGGUCCAUUAGGGCCAGCAAACACCUUAAUGAUUGUCUGCCUGUCAAAUCUCACCUGAGCUACCAGGUAGGAGAUUCUUAGAUCUGGGUUGUUUUUGUGUAUGUCACAACAGCUUACUGAAUUUUACAGGUACGAGGGAUUUGACAGUUGAUACUGAGUCUUGGGAGGGAAAUUUAAUUGUUUCAUUAAUUACUUCGGAUUACGUGAUAAACAGAUGUGGAAAAUUGGACUGUCUGUUUUAGAGAAAAAUGAAUUUCUUGAACAUUCGACAUUGCUCAGAUUCGUGAGACAGUAUUAUCUCCAUACAUCACCACUGGAACCAGUUAACGGAAGGAACCAAUUUACUCCACGUCUGUUAGGGACCCAUUGAUUUUACUUAUUCACUGAAAUUUUUCUAUAUUCGGAAUUCUGCUUUCAGCUGUGAUCUUCUGUAAAUAAAUCAUCAGGGUCUAUGUAACAAGUAUACUGUUUUACUCGGUACCCAGACAAAUUUUAUUACACACAAUUACCACUUAGGUCGUGGGGGGAGAAAUCAAUACCAACACUUGGAAUUAUAGAGAAAAAAAAAACAUCAUCCCAAAUGGAGACAACAUUUUCUGAUUGUGUCUGAAACAAUUAGAGCUGGAUGCUCCAGUGGUUGUAUGCCAUCAAUUAUGUCCACUGAAUUUGUUGUUUUCAUCAUCAAACUCGAAUCAAUAGUGCAGUGUUUCAUUUAUUUUAAACUUAAAUCCCGUUUUUUUCUACAGUUGAAUUGAUUUUUAAUGUGUAUUGCAAAGUAAUUAAGUUGGGAGUUCAUUAGACUGCAUUGCAAGGGGAAAAACAACAUAAUGGUUAAUCGCCUGUAAAGUACAUGCAUUAGUCAUUUAAAUUAAGACAACUUUGCUGGUUGGUCUUGCAAUAAGAACUGUCAGUAUAUAUUGAGAGUUCUGUGUCGUAAUUUCUGAGGUGGAGAGAGUAAUUGUCACUUUCAGUUUGCAAGUCAUUUCAGAUGUAGCUUUGAUGAAAUUUACUGCUGGAAAACAACCCAAAUUGUAUCUGUAUCGUCUUAAUGACAAACGUCUAAGAUCAUUCAUCAGGUUUGGCUCUUGAAGGAAACCCAAUAGAUUUUUUCCCUCCUUCUCUGCCUAUAAGUUCUUUUCCUAGGUCUAGGCGUCGUAAUAUAAGCAGCUCGAGUCGCCUCGAGAUGUUGCCGCAAAGAGAAGGAGCUGUGAUUACUCGUCAGGAUGCAGCACUUUUAAUAUUGUUCAUGAAUUUCCUGGGCUUCGGCAGAGAGACAUCAAUCAAAAUUUAUACACAGAAAUUUAUCACCCACGACCACUCGCUCGCUGUCGCCCUGAUUACAUAUAAAUCGCACAGAAUUCAUUUUUGCCAAAUUAUCGCUUGCCACUGCUGGUGAAAAUCUGACAAUCGUUGGUCAAUUUGGCCAUCGAUUCUGUCGGCGAGUCCUGACUAUGUGCUUGCAUCAUUAACUUUUUUUGGCCUGUGCGAGAUUUUCUUUUCCACGGUGAGAUCUGAGAUUAACACAAUAAUUGUGUAGAUAUCUCGGGAGUCAUAAGACGCGCAGACAGGUUUGGAUGGAGUUCCGUGCCUUUGAAAGGCACUGGAUCCAAUCAAGUGGCAGAGAUCAUCGAGCUCCUAAUGAAUUUAAAAUCACCCCUCAAUCACCCAUUACAGAGUAAUACUACCAGGAAAAGAUCGGAAUUAAGACAUAAAUAACAGGUCCUAAAGGAUGGACUCAAAAACCUAAAUAAUCAUUCUGAAUAAUAGAGUACUGAUCACACCCAACCUAACACCAGAGUAAACUCCAACUAAACCACGGGUUUACUUUUGGGGUUUUUUGGGGGGUUUACUCUGGGUUUGUUUUUUGAAACUUUGGGUUCACUCUGGGUUUUCUUUGGGUUUACUUGGAAAUUGCUUUUGAGGUCAACUGUGCUCACUGAAGUGUGAAGCAGACCUGUCGUUUAUCUUGCCAUCAUACUGCCUGUAAUUCCUGCCCCAUGUAUAUUCCAAAUACACAUGUAGCGUCUGCAUUCAGGGUAUACUUCUGACCGGGUUUACUCUCUGUGUCCACUCUGGGUUUACUCUAGGUCCACUCUAGUAAACCCAGAGUAAACCCAGAAAGUAAACCCAGGGUUUAGUUUGGGUUUACUUUCUGUUAGGUUGAGUCUGAUUGGUACUGACAGUUAAGUAUGGUUUACAUGUACAUGCAUCUAGAAAGCUUGUGUGCCAGAUAAUAUAUAUUUCUAAUACACUGAAAAAUUGUGAUUAGCCAAGAAUAAAGAUGUGAAUGGGGUACUACCACACUUAAUAAAAAUUUAUAUCCAUCGCCUUUAAUUUUAAGUACCCAUAACUUUGCCAUUGUUAAUAGAUUGCAGAGGUAAUUUUCACUAAUGAACUUCAUCAAACAGAGCUUGCUCCAAAAGGAUUAAGUUUAAAAGCUUUUUUAAUCCUAAUGGAGUCUUAGAGAUCCAGCCAGGUACCCAGGGUAGGAUGCUCUCAGACUUGUUAACAGAGUUUCUCCUGCAUCCACUGAACUGACAAAUUGCAAUUUUCUGCCUGGUGGGGAUGUUUUAUCCCAGAAACAAUGGCUUUGAUUCAUGCUCGGUGAGACCAGAGAGCAGCCAUUUUUACUCCCCUGUCUCAGCACUACCAUCCCUGACUCCUAUCAGGGUCAUUCUUGUCUUGUAAGAUAAUGUGAUUUUUCAACAGAUUGUAUUUCAUCAAAUGGAAUCAAGUUGUGACAAGGCUGUCGGUGGAAUCUUUGAUUGCUUCUAAGUGCUCAGCGGAAGCGUGUCCUUAUUGCAGCGGAAUG